ACAAGGCGUAGCUUACCACCCAAAGCCCUCAACUUACAAUUGAGAAACGUCUAUCACAAGACCGCCUUGA
rnacentral:tRNA from 1 species